GGGCCCAUAGCUCAGCUGGGAGAGCGCCUGCUUUGCACGCAGGAGGUCAGGAGUUCGAUCCUCCUUGGCUCCACCA
rnacentral:tRNA from 1 species